UCGGCGCUGGGAGGCGCUUCCUCAACGCGCGCGGGAGACCAAAGUACAGCUCGCAUCGCGAGCUCGUCCUCCGGCCGGUCCACCUCCACCGACUUUAGCCUGAGCCCAGCCUACUUCCUCACACACAGUCCCAGAGCCGUGCGGCCACCCCCACCCCAGGCGCCAAAGCCCUCGGCUUAGCGCGCAGCUCCAGACCGGAAGUAGCCGCCGCGACCCACCGCUCCGGGUAGGGGAAGGAGAUUCCUCUUACUCACAGAUUCCAAGAUUGCCUCGAGAUUCGCGAAAGGUCCAGAAGGGAAGCGGGAACCCUCUGGAGGUGUGGAGGGACGGCUGCUCGCUUUCCUCCUCUUUUGCCCUUUUCCCUCACUGGAGUGCCAAACCGCGGCGGGAAAGCCGCCCCCUCUGGGCAGCCGGCCCUAUAAGGCCGGGGGCUGCCGGCCGGGCUCGGAGGCGGCCGGACCCGCCCAGCCGGAGCCCGCGCGACGUCACGCGGGAGUUCCCGUUGCGUCACGCCCCUUCCUCCCGCCGCGUAGCCCGGCGGCGCCCCUCACGCCCCUGCCGAGGGGCUGGUCCGCGGUGCCGCCCUAGGGAGCCGGCUGACCGUGGAGUGGAGCGCCGCCUCUACGCUGUCAGGAGUGGGCCCAGGAGCCUGGCCACCGCCCCGGCGUUUCUGAGAUGCGCUGGGGAAAACUCAAGCUGCUUUGUCUGACGAGCAUGAAGUCCAUGGUGUUACGUAAAAGUUAUCUUAACAGUGUGUCUACCUUAAGCAUUUUGCAAAGAAAGCAUGUCUGUUACCUAGUGAUGUGACCUGACAGGACUGGAUGCCGUAUAUCAAAAUGAUGUUUAUUGGGUUGAGGUUAGAUGGAAAGUUUCUGGCAAACCUGAAAUGAGAAGGAAUCUGAAGCAAUCAGCAUUAUUUGUUGAGACAACAUGCUGUUAGGAGAAUCGUUUUUGGAGCACUAGAAAUUCCGCAAAUGAACAAAAUGGAAUAAACUAGAAUCACACUGUCUUUUAAACCA